GUCCCUGUAGUUUUUGGUAAUUGAACCCGCAGUCCCUGUUUAAGUGAAUCUGAGAAAAUGCUUCAUUGUUUGCAGAAAACCCCUGCAUUUAUUAGUUUUCAGCCCGUGAUCCUUCCCCAGUUUCCCCUCUGCCCCGACUAAAAAAAUCCCCUCUGUGCCAGCCGGCGCCCGACGGCCCGAUUCAGCGCCUCCCGCCGGAGACCGCCCGCCGCCGACGAGGGGCACGCCGGUGAUCUCCCCCAGCCCGCCUGCCCCUCUUUCAUAUCCGUUCUACUCCUUCUCUCUCGGCCCCCUCGAGCUCGCCUCGAUCCAUGGCCUCUUCUUAAACCUAGCUCCGGUCACGGCCACGACCGGCUUCGCAGCUCCCGGCCGCCAUCGCCUGCGCCUCCCCCCGUGUCUCCCUCACCUCGCCUGUGCAGCACCGUGGUUGUACAUCGCCAGCGCCAUCAGCUACAGCCCCGCUCUAAUCCACCUGCAAGCCAUGGACAGCGGCCUGGCUGCUUACUCGUCGCUGGCCUACCAGUACCUCCACCAACAUCUCAUCCAUCUAGAUCAGGGGCGCUUUAAUUUCAGCAGAUUUUCUUCUUCUUUGCAACAUGGUAAUUUUCUGGGAUAGAGUCUUGAUUUUAAUUAUUGCAGAAUGGCAAUCUGCUUUAUGUUGGCUUUAUCAUCUCAGGAUAAUCCAGAUGUUUUCCUAUGCCUUGAAGAGUUGUUGAUGGAUGAUAUACAUAGGCUACCAGGUGGUAGCUCCAAUGUUGCAACUGAGGCCAGCAAUGGGUGCUUCUCCUGGGAUGGCUCACCUGAGAUACCAACGUUGAAGGAUCUGAAUUUUCAAGCUCGGCAAGGCAUGCGUGUUGCACUUUGUGGGACGGUCGGCUCUGGAAAAUCAAGUUUGAUCACUUGAAUUCUUGGUAUGGAGCCAAAGCUAUUAGGAGAGGCCAAGACUUGCGGAACAAUGGCAUAUGUCAGCCACAAGGCAUGGAUACAGAGCGGCAAAAUUCAGGAUAACAUACUGCUCGGCAAGGAGAUGGAGAGUGAGGAGUAUGACACGGUCCUUGAGUGGUAUUCGCUAAAGAAAUACUUGGAGAUCAAAAUCAUUGGAGAGUGAGGCUGCACUCUUAGUGGCAGGCAGAAACAAAGGAUUCAGAUAGCCCGGGCAUUGUGAUGUAUGCUGACAACUAUUUUGUUCCAUGAUCCGUUCAACGCAGUUGAUGCUCAUACAGGAUCCUAAUUUUCCAAGAAUCUUUGCUGAACUCCCAUGGUGUUAGUUGUUCUUGAACCGAAGAAACGUGCGGUCUGGAAUUGACAUCAUUCAGUUCCUUGAUGAAAACAAAGUUGCAUGUCCUUUUAGUCUAAACGUAAUAUUAUGCCUUGGAGCAUAUGAUGGGGGUCAAAUCGCAGUUAUGAACUGCAUUGCACGUGCAUGAAGGCGAAUGAUUUUUCUGGAUGCCAUUGCCAUCUGAUCGAUGGUUUCGCCGCGGUCGUUGGGAGAAAUAUCAUCGACGGUAGGGGAAAAGCGGGUAGGCUGAGGCGGGCACCCACACCAAGCGGCCGACCCACGAAGGCGGCCAUGCAGCUCCGCCUCGUGCCUCUCUCCCCAUCUCUAUGUUCGUGUCAAACCCAGCGCAAGGUAGAGGCAGAAGAGGAGGCCGGGAAGAGAAGCUGCAAGAGAAAGUUGUUGAAGUGGAAGAAGGUGAACCUGUAGAAGAGCUGAAAAAAGGAUGUGGUAGAGACAAGGAAGCAAAGCCUAAACAGUAUAAUGAUGCAGACAUGCGAAUGCAUCAGGUAGCGCACACAUGACGCAGCUGCAGCAGGAGCACACAAGCCGCACAUGCACGGGACAUAUCACAUGGCCAAGAGUGUGCUGAGGGGCAGCCGGCGUGCACUCGCCGCAAAGCGGAGCAACAGCGAGAUUGGGCACCUCCUCAGGUUGGCUUCAGGGGCGAAAUGUUGGCAUCGCCUGGCUCGAGCCCCUCCUCUUCGUGGAGCUCGACCCGAGGGAGGAAGAGGAGUGGAGAAAAAUAUAAAGAAGGAAUCUAAGCCAUCGAUGCCUGCUCUGUUCGCUGCUCUCGUGGAGGCGUGCACUUGCGAUUGGAAGAGGUGACAAGGAAGGCAAGUAGAAAAACGAACACCACUUAAAUUCAGGCAAUCGCCGGCCAUACGCCCCAAGAAAAGAAAAAAGGACACCCAGCUGCUCACCUGACGCCGGAAAAGAUCAAGCCUUCUUCAAGAUGGAGACGGUCUGGUCCAGGCAGGGGUCAUCGGGAGGAGGAAGUAGCCAAAGAAAUCGUCGGCAGGGCGCUGCCCUCCUCCCCGUGGCCCUCGACGGAGCCAUGGGGCUCGACACCCUCGAGUCCGAAGCGGCGGCGGUGUCCAUGCUUUUUUUUUUGCAACCCUGAGGCAGUAGAGGAGAGGUGGUUCAAGGAGCGAGGGUUUCAUUUGAUCGGGGCGAGGUGGGCCCAUAGAGCGGUGGAGGACUUCGCCCGAGUUUUCCAGAGAUUAUCUCACGCAUGGCAGCGAAACACGUGGAGAGUACGUGGCACACCACAAUUCAGUCAAACCAGCCACCGACGUACCCCCAUCUCACGUGAAAAGCGCUGAGCAAGAUAAGAAAAGAGAUACACUCC